CACAGGCGUCCCUUUUCCAGGUAAAGCGAAGCGGUGUCUGGACUUUGUGAAGUGCUGGCUCAGGGGCAAGUCUCCCUCAUCCCGUUCUUCCCCUUUGCAGCAGGUUCUCGAGAUCCACCAAGCUGGGAGUCUCCGCCCCUGAACCUAUUGAACCUAUGAGCCACUUGACUGGGGCUGAACUGGCCUUUCAUCCAGGAAACAGAGACAACUGCCUCAGUUCUUCCUGAAUGGCUCUGGGGAUGAAACAGACUGUCCACGAAGAGUCUGGAGAUCUUUUCCCCAAAUUCCACAUUGUCACUGCAGCCUCCCCAGAUCCAGCCAUGGCCACCUACACACAGGAAAGAAAGAGAUCCACAUACAACGCUCAGCUAGAUCCAGGGAAAGAGCCAUGUGCUGUUGAGUGGACAGCUAAACCUUUCCCCCAAGAGCCCUCGGAGGAUGUCUGAAGGGUUUCUGUUGCUGUGAAGAUUCACCAUGACCACAGCAACUUUAUAAAGGAAAACAUUUCAUCGUGGUGGCUGUGUACAGUUCAGAAGUUCCGACCGUUAUCAUCAUGGUGUGACAUGGUGGCGUGCAAGCAGACCUGGUGCCAUCAGCAUGACAGUCCUACAUCUGCAGCCACAGAAAGUGGUCUGAGUGUCACACCCAGGGAAGCUUAAGCAAAAGAGACCUCAAAGGCUGCUCCCACAGAGACACCACAGAGACACGCUUCCUCCAACAAGGACACGCCUACUUCAACAAGGCCACACCCUUUGGGGACUAUUCUCUUUCAAACCACCAUAUUCCUGAAGCACCUUGAGAGACUUUGAGGCUUGAUUCCGAAUUAACCUACUGUGGAUGAGGAGUUGGGUCUUAGUCUUUUUGUUGGGGUUUUGUUUUGUACAGAAGGAUCUUACUCUAUUGCUCAGGCUGGCUUGGAACACACUAUAUGCAGUCCAAGCCUGUCUCAAACUUGUGAUCCUCCUGCCUCAGCCACUAGAAUGUUAAGAUUAUAGGCAUGUGUCCUCAGGUCUGGCUGAGCAGGUCUUUCUGUGUGCCUGCUGGAUGGGGCAUUUAGUAGAUACCUUAGAAAAAUAUUCUAACAUCUUCUAGAAAGCAGGGAAGGAAAUGAGGACUUCGGGCUGUAUGUUUGCAUGUGUGUGUGUGUGAAUACUUCGUGCUUGCUUUUUCUCAGGUUCAAUAAGAUUGCACAGUUUGUUUUUAUAUCAUUUAAAAGGGUUGUUCAAUUAUUUUAUGUGUAUGC